GCAGGUUUUGGGGAGGUUCUCCUUGAAGGUAACUAAGUCUGUCUAAAAAUUUUCCGUAAUAUUGAGGAUAUAUUAUAAUCUGAGAUGUGCAAUAACUCUUGGUUUAAUGGUUUGGGUACUUGGUUAAUAUCAAGAGACAACAUAUAACUAUUCUGGUUAAUUUUGUAUCUGAUCACUGAUAUUAUUAUUGGAAAAUUUGUAGGCUUAGUAUGUAUUGGACAAUGGUGACACCAACAUGGAACCAUAAGUGUUGGUGUUCCCUCAGCAUUGUUCUGGUAUGGUCUUCAACCUAAUUAUUGAUUAACUAAUGUCAUAUACUGGGAGUAAAUGAGGGACUGAUUUUGCUAGGAUUUGCAAUGGAGGAAACUAAGAUUUGUUGAGAUUUAUCAUUGUUAUCUUUUAGGUGUCAAUCUUGAGAUAUUAUAUGAAUGUACUACAUAAGUGUUGUAACAAAGAGUGUUUGGUGUAAUUAUCUAUUGUUGAUGUCAUUACUCAGCCAGGGGGCAACUUUUUUGUGCCUUGGGAUUUUCUAGUGCUUUAUUUGGUUUCUCUCAAGAAAAAUCCAUUACUUUCAUUACUAAGCCACUAGUAUCUGAUUUUCCCUUUCUCCAUAGACCUUUUAGUCAUGGCUAUGAAGAUCGAACUUCCUUUGAGGUUUGGAGUGCUUUAAGGAUCAUUAGUAUGUCAGUUCUGUGUGUUCACGUCUUGAUUCUUAGCAGUACUGUUAGGUUCGCAUUUCUUAUUAUCAAAAAAUGGAAUCAUUGCCCUUCAAGUGUGAUGUGGCAUGUAGGAAUCUGCUUUCUGGCGGUGUUAAUAAUGACAUCUAUUAUCACUCUGUGGUUUUCCUUGUUUUUGGUGUCCCUGUGGUCCAACUCUUCCGAACCCAAUUCACGGAGUGAUAGCUGGUCUUCGAACCUCAAGGUGCACUGCUCUUGCUGCUUUGCGAACACAUCAUAUUUAUUCUUAAUAUUGAAGUUUGUCGUUUCUCUAAUUCGCAUGUCAUUGAAACAGUUAUACAACUUCUCUGGGUAUAUAAAUUUGAAUACACCAUAUCAUUAUUAUAUAAAAUUCUCUGCUUAUGACAUAUAAUGAACAGAUUACUACAUCAUAUUAUUAUUGGUAAAGUCCCUUGGCUUAUAGUGGUUCCUUGGUCAUCUUAUAGUGGUAUCUUGCUAUCUUAAGAGUUAUCUUGCCUACAUAUAGAAUGUUUUUGUUUUUUGCUUUUUUGCUUUUGUAUCCUUCACUUCAAAUAGGGUGAGGAUGAGCAUCUGCCAGGAGUUUUGUACCUCCCAACCAGUAAGUCUUACAUCUGUCUUGAUGCAUACCUAAUAUUAAUUGUUAUAUGUUUGUGGUAUAAGUUACUGUUUCAUCUGCUAUGAUUAUGCUACCUGGGUGUGGCUUAGUCUGCCCUUGCAAUGUGAGUUAUUUAAAUAUGCUUGAAUCAAUCAUAUUCUUGGUUAGUUUAGACGACAAUUCUUGUGCAGAAUCGU
rnacentral:misc_RNA from 1 species